UAAAACGACUCUCGGCAACGGAUAUCUCGGCUCUCGCAUCGAUGAAGAACGUAGCGAAAUGCGAUACUUGGUGUGAAUUGCAGAAUCCCGCGAAUCAUCGAGUUUUUGAACGCAAGUUGCGCCCGAAGCCUUCGGGUUGAGGGCACGUCUGCCUGGGUGUCACGCA
rnacentral:rRNA from 1 species